CACAAGCACCACAGGGGAGGAUCUGCAGCAAAGGGACCACCGGAAAUCAAACCUUGGCCGCCAUGAUGACGACAUGUGGCACUUGAGUGUGUGAUUACGACUACCAGCAUGAACCUCAACACCUUCUUUGCUGUUCCACUAGUGUGACCCAUGAUCGGAUACAAGUUGUCACGGAUAAACGGGAGUAAGUUGUUUUAAGUUCAAUUCAAUUCAAUUCAAUUCAGUUUAUUUGUAUAGCCCAAUUUCACAAAUUACAAAUUUGUCUCGGAGUGCUUUACAAUCUGUACACAUAGACAUCCCUGCCCCAAAACCUCACAUCGGACCAGGAAAAA